CACCAGCACUGCGGUGUCGUCACCUUUACCUCCUCUCCAGCCUCGCUCAUUCUGCUGUUGGCCGGCCAAUGGCUUCUCAUCCCCUCUCCAACUCCAUCAUUCCCUGCCUCCGAACCCGAAUGCCUUCUGCCAGUCCUUCAGCAGUGACUUUAGUUCCAAAUGGGAUCUUUGGGUUGUCGUACGGUAGACUAGCGAUGGGAUCAUUUUUUCCAAUGGUGAGCCUACUGAAACUGAAUGAUCUAAAGGACAAUAAGGGAGCAAGGAAGAAAAAAAGCAAAAAAGGUAGGGAGAUUGGGUUUGGGAAAGGGAAAACGGCAAGGAGAGGGCAAGGAGAGGCCAUAAGGGGCAGAAGGAUCGUGGGACAGUGAAUUUUGGAUUUGAGGGUGGACAGACACCGCUCUGCCGACUUCUUCCCAGGCGGGGUUUCAAGAACUGCUUCAGCCUCACAUUCUAGCCUGUAGGGCUGGAAAGAUCGAAACAUAUAAGUACAGGAAGAUUGACUCUUCACAACUUGUUACAAUGAAAUCUUCAAGGACACUGGUGCAAAAGGCAAGCAAAUCGAGGAUGGUGUUAGACUGAUGGCUCGUGGUUCUGAACAUAUCAAAUGGCCAAUUCAUCUGAGGUC